GCUGGGUGUGGUGGCACAUACCUGUAAUCCCAGCUGCCUGGGAGGUUGAGGCAGGAGGAUCAUGAGUUCAAAGCCGGUCUCAGCAAAGUAAAGAGAUCCUAAACAAUUCAAUGAGACCCUGUCUCUA
rnacentral:sRNA from 1 species